rnacentral:rRNA from 1 species
AUUGAACGCUGGCGGCAGGCUUAACACAUGCAAGUCGAGCGAGCGGCGGACGGGUGAGUAAUGUCUGGGAAACUGCCUGAUGGAGGGGGAUAACUACUGGAAACGGUAGCUAAUACCGCAUACCAUCGGAUGUGCCCAGAUGGGAUUAGCUAGUAGGUGGGGUAAAGGCUCACCUAGGCGACGAUCCCUAGCUGGUCUGAGAGGAUGACGAGCCACGCUGGAACUGGGACACGGUCCAGACUCCGACGGGAGGCAGCAGUGAAGAAUAUUGCACAAUGGGCGCAAGCCUGAUGCAGCCAUGACGCGUGUAUGAAGAGGGCCUUCGGGUUGUAAAGUACUUUCAGCUGGGGGGCGUUACCCGCAGAAGAAGCACCGGCUAACUCCGUGCCAGCAGCCGCGGUAAUUC